AUGAAGCUUAUCUCAUGGAAUUGCCGGGGGUUGGGGAACGGCCCGGCAAUUCGCAGCCUUCUGGAGCUCCAGAAGGAGGAGGACCCCGAUGUGCUUUUUUUGUCAGAAACAAGGAUGGUGCGUGGCAGGCUGGAAUGGUUGAGGUGGAAGAUGGGCAUGACCAAUAUGAUUGUAAAAGACUGCGAGGGGCAGAGUGGUGGACUGGCUUUGUUUUGGUAGAAUCAUGUUAAUCUCAAGCUAAUUGGUUUUGUCUCUCGGCACCAUAUUGAUACGGAAAUAACUGAAUCGGACGGAUUCGUU
rnacentral:rRNA from 1 species